rnacentral:rRNA from 1 species
UACGUAGGGUGCAAGCGUUGUCCGGAAUUAUUGGGCGUAAAGAGCUCGUAGGCGGUUUGUCGCGUCUGCUGUGAAACUGGAGGCUCAACCUCCAGCCUGCAGUGGGUACGGGCAGACUAGAGUGCGGUAGGGGAGAUUGGAAUUCCUGGUGUAGCGGUGGAAUGCGCAGAUAUCAGGAGGAACACCGAUGGCGAAGGCAGAUCUCUGGGCCGUAACUGACGCUGAGGAGCGAAAGCUAGGGGAGCAAACAGG